rnacentral:rRNA from 1 species
UACGUAGGGUGCAAGCGUUAAUCGGAAUUACUGGGCGUAAAGCGUGCGCAGGCGGUUUUGUAAGUCUGUCGUGAAAGCCCCGGGCUCAACCUGGGAAUUGCGAUGGAGACUGCAAGGCUUGAAUCUGGCAGAGGGGGGGUAGAAUUCCACGUGUAGCAGUGAAAAUGCGUAGAGAUGUGGAGGAACACCGAUGGCGAAGGCAGCCCCCCUGGGUCAAGAUUGACGCUCAUGCACGAAAGCGUGGGGGAGCAAACAGG